rnacentral:lncRNA from 1 species
AGAGUCAUUUUACAAUCUGCUGGGCCUGACUCCCAUGGUUUGGGGGACAUUUCUGUUCAUCAGCACUGGGUUUAAGAUUUGUGCAGCCCUCAUCACAGUCAGGACGCAAAGCGGUUUCAUCACUCCAAAAACUCCCUCGGGCCAUCCCUGUGAAGUUCCACCCUCCCCUCAUCACUCACUCUUGGCGCCCACUAAUCAGUUCUUCAUCACAAGAAUUUUGUCUCUUCCAGAAUGCCUUAUGAAUGGAACCCUAAGGGUAUGGAACCUUUUGAGCCUCACUUCUUCCACUCAGCGUAAGGCCUCUGAUCCAGCCAGGUCAUUGUGUGUAAUUCACACUGAUUCAUCCUUCUUCUCUUUCUGAGUAAUAUUUCAUUGUUUGGACGUACGACAUUCUGUUUAUCCAUUCACCAGUUGAAGGACAUUUGGGUUCCUUCCAGUGUGGGGUGAUUUCGAAUAAAGCUGCUACAAACAUUUGUGUGCAGGUUUGUGUGUGAACAUUUGUCUUUAUUUCUCUUGGGUAAAUACCUCGGAGCGAGAUUGCCGGGUCCUAUGUCUGCCUGCUGGGUCUACAGUUCAGAGUCCUCACACAGCUGCUCCAUGCAUUCUUGUCGGACAUCCCAGCUGCAUUCGGUGGAGAAGAGGGUGGAGAGUGUUGACUCCACCUCAUCCUCCAUCCCAGGCCCUUCUGAUGGCUUCUUCACUGUUUUAGUUGGGACAGUUAUGGCU